rnacentral:rRNA from 1 species
UACGGAGGGCGCGAGCGUUAAUCGGAAUUACUGGGCGUAAAGCGCGCGUAGGCUGUUGUGUAAGUUGGGGGUGAAAUCCCACGGCUCAACCGUGGAACAGCCCUUGAUGCUGCGCGACUUGAAUCCGGGAGAGGGUGGCGGAAUUCCAGGUGUAGGAGUGAAAUCCGUAGAUAUCUGGAGGAACAUCAGUGGCGAAGGCGGCCACCUGGACCGGUAUUGACGCUGAGGCGCGAAGGCGUGGGGAGCAAACAGG